AUACGUAGGGGGCGAGCGUUGUCCGGAUUUAUUGGGCGUAAAGGGCGUGUAGGCGGCCAAGCAAGUCAGGGGUGAAAACCUGGGGCUCAACCCCGGGCCUGCCUCUGAAACUGGUUGGCUUGAGUGCUCUAGAGGGCAGUGGAAUUCCCGGUGUAGCAGUGAAAUGCGUAGAGAUCGGGAGGAACACCAGUGGCGAAGGCGGCUGCCUGGGGAGUAACUGACGCUGAGGCGCGAAAGCUGGGGGAGCAAACAGGAUUAGAUACCCUGGUAGUCCCAGCCGUAAACGAUGAGUGCUAGGUGUGAGGGGUAUCGACCCCCCUCGUGCCGGAGUUAACGCAAUAAGCACUCCGCCUGGGGAGUACGGCCGCAAGGUUGAA
rnacentral:rRNA from 1 species